rnacentral:rRNA from 1 species
UCAAGUAAUUAAGUGCAUGUGGUGGAUGCCUUGGCAGUCAGAGGCGAUGAAAGACGUGAUAGCCUGCGAAAAGCUCCGGGGAGGCGGCAAAUAUCCUUUGAUCCGGAGAUGUCUGAAUGGGGGAACCCACCUACUUUAAGGUAGGUAUUGCAACAUGAAUACAUAGUGUUGCAAGGCGAACGAGGGGAAGUGAAACAUCUCAGUACCCUUAGGAAAAGAAAUCAAUUGAGAUUCCCUCAGUAGCGGCGAGCGAACGGGGAUCAGCCCAUUAAGUUAUGUGUGUUUUAGUGGAACGCUCUGGGAAGUGCGAACGUAGAGGGUGAUAUUCCCGUACACGAAAGGGCACACAUAAUGAUGACGAGUAGGGCGAGGCACGUGAAACCUUGUCUGAAUAUGGGGGGACCAUCCUCCAAGGCUAAAUACUCCUGACUGACCGAUAGUGAACCAGUACCGUGAGGGAAAGGCGAAAAGAACCCCUGUGAGGGGAGUGAAAUAGAUCCUGAAACCGCAUGCAUACAAGCAGUGGGAGCACCUUCGUGGUGUGACUGCGUACCUUUUGUAUAAUGGGUCAGCGACUUAUAUUCAGUAGCGAGGUUAACCGUAUAGGGGAGCCGUAGAGAAAUCGAGUCUUAAUAGGGCGUUUAGUUGCUGGGUAUAGACCCGAAACCAGGCGAUCUAUCCAUGAGCAGGUUGAAGGUUGGGUAACACUAACUGGAGGACCGAACCCACUGUCGUUGAAAAGCCAGGGGAUGACUUGUGGAUAGGGGUGAAAGGCUAAUCAAGCCUGGUGAUAGCUGGUUCUCCCCGAAAGCUAUUUAGGUAGCGCCUCGGACGAAUACCAUAGGGGGUAGAGCACUGUUUCGGCUAGGGGGUCAUCCCGACUUACCAAACCGAUGCAAACUCCGAAUACCUAUGAGUACUAUCCGGGAGACAGACUGCGGGUGCUAACGUCCGUAGUCAAGAGGAAAACAAUCCAGACCGCCAGCUAAGGCCCCAAAAUCAUAGUUAAGUGGGAAACGAUGUGGGAAGGCAUAGACAGCUAGGAGGUUGGCUUAGAAGCAGCCACCCUUUAAAGAAAGCGUAAUAGCUCACUAGUCGAGUCGGCCUGCGCGGAAGAUGUAACGGGGCUAAAACUAUGUGCCGAAGCUGCGGAUGUAUACUUUGUAUACGUGGUAGGGGAGCGUUCUGUAAGCCGAUGAAGGUGUGUUGAGAAGCAUGCUGGAGGUAUCAGAAGUGCGAAUGCUGACGUGAGUAACGACAAAACGGGUGAAAAACCCGUUCGCCGAAAGACCAAGGGUUCCAGUCCAACGUUAAUCGGGGCUGGGUGAGUCGACCCCUAAGGCGAGGCCGAAAGGCGUAGUCGAUGGGAAAAUGGUUAAUAUUCCAUUACUUCUGUGUAAUGCGAUGAGAGGACGGAGAAGGCUAAAUCAGCCUGGCGUUGGUUGUCCAGGUGAAAGGAUGUAGGCAUGUAUCUUAGGCAAAUCCGGGGUACUCUAUGCUGAGAUCUGAUAGCAAGCUGUACUUGUACAGCGAAGUGGUUGAUGCCAUGCUUCCAGGAAAAGUCUCUAAGCUUCAGUUACACAGGAAUCGUACCCGAAACCGACACAGGUGGUCAGGUCGAGUAGACCAAGGCGCUUGAGAGAACUCUGCUGAAGGAACUAGGCAAAAUGGUACCGUAACUUCGGGAGAAGGUACGCUGUUGUUGGUGAUGGAACUCGCUUCCUGAGCUGACGACAGCCGCAGAAACCAGGCCGCUGCAACUGUUUAUUAAAAACAUAGCACUCUGCAAACACGAAAGUGGACGUAUAGGGUGUGAUGCCUGCCCGGUGCUGGAAGGUUAAUUGAUGGGGUUAGCGUAAGCGAAGCUCUUGAUCGAAGCCCCAGUAAACGGCGGCCGUAACUAUAACGGUCCUAAGGUAGCGAAAUUCCUUGUCGGGUAAGUUCCGACCUGCACGAAUGGCAUAAUGAUGGCGGCGCUGUCUCCAGCAGAGGCUCAGUGAAAUCGAAAUCGCUGUGAAGAUGCAGUGUACCCGCGGCUAGACGGAAAGACCCCGUGAACCUUUACUGCAGCUUGACACUGAACUUUGACCUUACUUGUGUAGGAUAGGUGGGAGGCUUUGAAGCUGGAACGCUAGUUCCAGUGGAGCCGUCCUUGAAAUACCACCCUGGUAAUGUUGAGGUUCUAACUCUGUCCCGUGAUCCGGGACGAGGACCGUGUCUGGUGGGUAGUUUGACUGGGGCGGUCUCCUCCUAAAGAGUAACGGAGGAGUACGAAGGUGCGCUCAGCGUGGUCGGAAAUCACGCGUAGAGUAUAAAGGCAAAAGCGCGCUUAACUGCGAAACCCACAAGUCGAGCAGGUACGAAAGUAGGUCUUAGUGAUCCGGUGGUUCUGUAUGGAAGGGCCAUCGCUCAACGGAUAAAAGGUACUCUGGGGAUAACAGGCUGAUACCGCCCAAGAGUUCAUAUCGACGGCGGUGUUUGGCACCUCGAUGUCGGCUCAUCUCAUCCUGGGGCUGAAGCAGGUCCCAAGGGUAUGGCUGUUCGCCAUUUAAAGAGGUACGCGAGCUGGGUUUAGAACGUCGUGAGACAGUUCGGUCCCUAUCUACCGUGGGCGCUGGAAAUUUGAGAGGAUCUGCUCCUAGUACGAGAGGACCAGAGUGGACGAACCUCUGGUGUACCGGUUGUGACGCCAGUCGCAUCGCCGGGUAGCUAUGUUCGGAAGGGAUAACCGCUGAAAGCAUCUAAGCGGGAAGCCUACCUCAAGAUAAGAUUUCCCUAGGACUUUAUGUCCUCUAAAGAGCCGUUCGAGACUAGGACGUUGAUAGGUUGGAUGUGGAAGCAUAGUGAUAUGUGAAGCUGACCAAUACUAAUUGCUCGUGAGGCUUGACUAU